rnacentral:rRNA from 1 species
AGUUGCUAACAGCUCGGCUGAGCACUCUAAACAGACUGCCUUCGUAAGGAGGAGGAAGGUGUGGACGACGUCAAGUCAUCAUGGCCCUUAUGUCCAGGGCGACACACGUGCUACAAUGACAUAUACAGUAAGACGCAAUAUCGCAAGAUGGAGCAAAUCUAUAAAAUAUGUCCCAGUUCGGAUUGGGGUCUGCAACUCGACCCCAUGAAGCCGGAAUCGCUAGUAAUCGUAGAUCAGCCAUGCUACGGUGAAUAC